rnacentral:rRNA from 1 species
GACGAACGCUGGCGGCGUGCCUAAUACAUGCAAGUUGAGCGCUGAAGGUUGGUACUUGUACCAACUGGAUGAGCAGCGAACGGGUGAGUAACGCGUGGGGAAUCUGCCUUUGAGCGGGGGACAACAUUUGGAAACGAAUGCUAAUACCGCAUAAAAACUUUAAACACAAGUUUUAAGUUUGAAAGAUGCAAUUGCAUCACUCAAAGAUGAUCCCGCGUUGUAUUAGCUAGUUGGUGAGGUAAAGGCUCACCAAGGCGAUGAUACAUAGCCGACCUGAGAGGGUGGUCGGCCACAUUGGGACUGAGACACCGCCCCAACUCCUACGGGAGGCAGCAGGAGGGAAUCUUCGGCAAUGGACGGAAGUCUGACCGAGCAACGCCGCGUGAGUGAAGAAGGUUUUCGGAUCGUAAAACUCUGUUGGUAGAGAAGAACGUUGGUGAGAGUGGAAAGCUCAUCAAGUGACGGUAACUACCCAGAAAGGGACGGCUAACUACGUG